rnacentral:tRNA from 1 species
UGGGGGUCAUGGCUUGGUGGUAGAGCAUCUACUUGGCAUGCGGAAGGUCGCAGGUCCAACCCCUGGCAUCUCCAG